rnacentral:sRNA from 1 species
AGACCAAACACUACUUUCCGGUUACG